rnacentral:rRNA from 1 species
CCGAGUUUACAACUCCCAAACCCAAUGUGAACGUUACCAAACUGUUGCCUCGGCGGGAUCUUCUGCCCCGGGUGCGUCGCAGCCCCGGACCAAGGCGCCCGCCGGAGGACCAACUCCAAAACUCUUUUGUAUACCCCCUCGCGGGUUUUUUAUAUCUGAGCCAUCUCGGCGCCUCUCGUAGGCGUUUCGAAAAUGAAUCAAAACUUUCAACAACGGAUCUCUUGGUUCUGGCAUCGAUGAAGAACGCAGCGAAAUGCGAUAAGUAAUGUGAAUUGCAGAAUUCAGUGAAUCAUCGAAUCUUUGAACGCACAUUGCGCCCGCCAGUAUUCUGGCGGGCAUGCCUGUCCGAGCGUCAUUUCAACCCUCGAACCCCUCCGGGGGGUCGGCGUUGGGGAUCGGCCCUUUACGGGGCCGGCCCCGAAAUACAGUGGCGGUCUCGCCGCAGCCUCUCCUGCGCAGUAGUUUGCACACUCGCAUCGGGAGCGCGGCGCGUCCAUUGCCGUAAAACACCCAACUUUCUGAAAUGUUGACCUCGGAUCAGGUAGGAAUACCCGCUGAACUUAAGCAUAUCAAU